GCACAGUCAGCCAUCAGUAGGUGGAGGACUUUGCUGGUUUUAUCCAAAGAAACACUGUUUGCCAGGAGCUUUGGCUGAGACAGAUCCCAUGGAUUCUGCCCUGACAUUUCUGUUUGAAUCUCAGGGCAAAAAUCAAAAUGACACCCAUAAAAGGAACAAUCCCAAGGAGCAGAGCAUGGUCAGGCCCUGCAAUGGAAGACACUCAAAAUCCUUUGCAGGAUCACAGCCCCAAGCAUAUUUCAACCCUUUCUACCCAUGAUCCAUAUACUCCUGCUGUACAGAAAUGACAGGAACGUUCCCACAACCCUUCCUGUCCGUGUCUCAUGACAUGUGGUACUGGCAGGUGCAGCUGGAUCUGCAGGACUUGGGUUUUUGUGUGUGUUUGCUCUGGUUUUUUUUUUUAAUGAAAAAGAUGCUGCUUAAUCUUUAUGCAGCUAUUCCUCCCACUAGCAAAGAGACAGGAAGAAGCCAGUGCUGAGUUGUCCUUAAAGGCCACAACACUCAAACCCAAAAUACUACAUCAUGUCCUUUCAUUUUGCUGCAUUCUGAGUCAGGAAAGAACAAAUGGAAAGGAGUAAGGGGGAGUUUAUGUGUCUGUAGGACCUCUGUGUGCUCCCAUUCCCCAUUGUUUCCACAUGGACUAUCUAGAUUGCUCACUAAGCUGCUGGCAUUGUGAGGGGGAUCCUGCAUUUAUGCAAUUCUCAGCAGCAGCUUAGGAACUGGCAAGGCUCUGGCCUGCAGGAAACUAGAUGGGUUUGCAACUGAAGCCAAGAAGAUUAUGCAAACUUUCUGUACCUUGGAAAGAGCACAACACACACUGAAGACAGUAAAGCUACACAGCUUCCCUCUGCUCAAAAUGCUAUUCCUGUGUGCAUUUUCAAAAAGCCCUCCAUAGAGAUAAAAAGCAUUAUCCUUAUUUCCUCUGCUUUGGCUGCAAUUCCCACUUAAUCCUUCACUGAUGCUCCUGAUAUAUUAUUUAAAAAAUCCGGAAAUAACUAAAAAAAUCCCCAAAGGAACACUUGAGAGAAAAAUACUCUAUUUUCCCAAGUGCUGAGUCACGUAAAAAGUAUUUCCCCCCCCCCAAUUUUUAAAUUUUUUAGUUGGCUAAUCACUUUCUCCUUUUGCUGCCUCUACAAACAUUACAGCAGUCACAGCCCAGUGUAGCAGAUAUUCCUACAAUAUUAGCAGCAUAGUGAAGUUUGACAACUUAAUCCAGAUUUUAAGUAGCAUCAAUGACAGCAGAAAUUGUUCAAUGUGCAUAAUACCUUCCAGAUUCAGAUUUCUCACCCAGGUGCUCACUCAGAGGCAGGGCAGGCUACUGCUUCAGCCUUGUUUCUUAAUCUAAGUUCCUUUUCUUUCUUAUCUGUCUCAUCCCAUCCAACAGCUCCUGAUUGAACUGGCUGACAGGCUUUGACCACACAGAACUGUAGAAGAUAGGUUAGAUUUCUGCAAAUUUUGUGAACCAGAAGCUGAUAAAGUCACCUCUCUUCAGCUGCUUGCUAAGGGUCCACUAAUGGAAAUUCUUUGGUGAUCUGGAAGGUUAUCUGCACCUGCCUCUGCCAAGCUCCUUGCUGCUGGAAGGAUGGGCAGCACCAACUUUCAGCAACAUGCUACAGGAAAAGAAGCAGUAAAAAUUAUUUUUCAAGUUCUGAAGUUGCCCACUGACAGACCUCACAAUUCAAAGACACCCACAUGUAGAAACCAGGAACCAGCAGUGAAAAAGUUGGGUGAAAGGAUCUCUAAUGAAUGUGACAUGUGACUUUGGAAGGUUUAUCACAGUAUUCAAAUAAAUAACCCAAAUUACCUGGUAAGAUAUACAAAUACAGGGUAGUUCUUCCAAGAGCAAGGCCUUUAGGACUCAUUUACACUCUAUGGGAGUUCUGCCAUGGCCUUACCAAAACUAGUUUGGGUCAACAAUGAAUACUUUAUAGCCUGCAUUUUUACAUAACCAGCACAUCACAGGGUACCACAGUGAGGGACACUGCACACGGGCAGACUUCACACACAGAAAGCUGACGUGAUGAGAAACAAAUCACAGGAGAGCAAAAUUAAAAAAAAAAUGUCCUAAAAUGUGCAUUUUAUUUCAUAUCAUUAUACAAUGUUUACAAUACAGGUAUACUUUUAAAACUGCUCAAAGAAAGUGUGAAAAAAAAAAAAAAAGUGAGGCGAAUAUCGGUUUCAAAAUUCCUCCCCCUCCCCAAAAUCCACACAAAUAAAAUACAUUUUAAACAAUCU